rnacentral:lncRNA from 1 species
GACAACAUUGAAGUUCUUUUAUUCAAACAAAAAUUUUAGUAUGUUUUUUUCUUCAUCUUGACUGAGCAAACAUAUGUUCAUACACACCUUUAUAUACUCUUUAUACAUACAUUUAAAAAUAAUAAUAAUAAUAAUAAUAAUAAUAAUAAUAAUAAUAAUAAUUAGCACCACUGAUAUUUUACAUUAAUCUAGAGAGCAUGACUAAUGACAUAAAAUUACAAAUUUAUAUACAAGCAAUUAUGACCCGUUUAAUAGGAUCUUUGAUAUGAUGACACGUAGAUUGGUGUUCAAAUGCUAGAUAACAUUAUUAAGUAAGAAAAUUAUACCAAUCAAACACAAUAAAUUAACAAUUAUUAGGAAAAUAAUUUCUAAGCAAUAUAAUUUCAUGAAAUUCGUUUUCUUUCCACCCAAAUUCUAUCUUUACAAUCAAACGGACCCUAAAUAAAAUAAAAUCGAUUCCACGCUUAAUUUCAACAUGGUGCAAACCGAUCCAUGAGCAAAAACGUCAUUUCUGACCCAGUCUCCUCCCUCAAGGCGUUUGUUGGUGACUUGAGGGUGGCUGAUGACGAAGACAACUCUUGCUUCCACUGUUUUCUUUCGUGUACUUCAUUAGCCAUAAUUUGAAUAAUUGGAUUUCGGGCUCCGACUUUCGCUCUUACCUUUGAAAUUUUUUCGAGGCACACAUCAACUACAGCUGCCAUUUCUGUAUUCUCCUUUCCUCUCUAUUUCUUGAUGAAAUUAUUGAAAUCGAUGUAGAAAUGAAAGUAGUUUAUUGUUGCAUUUAUAGAGUGGGAAAAUGAAUGGUUCUAAAGGGGGAAAAAA